rnacentral:rRNA from 1 species
UACAGAGGUCUCAAGCGUUGUUCGGAAUUACUGGGCGUAAAGGGCGCGUAGGCGGCCUGCUAAGUCGAACGUGAAAUCCCUGGGCUCAACCCAGGAACUGCGUCCGAUACUGGUUGGCUUGAAUCCGGGAGAGGGACGUGGAAUUCCAGGUGUAGCGGUGAAAUGCGUAGAUAUCUGGGGGAACACCGGUGGCGAAGGCGACGUCCUGGACCGGCAUUGACGCUGAGGCGCGAAAGCCAGGGGAGCAAACGGG